rnacentral:rRNA from 1 species
AUACAGAGGGUGCUAGCGUUAAUCGGAUUUGCUGGGCGUAAAGCGUGUGUAGGUGGUUCAUUGCGUCGGUUGUGAAAUCCCUGGGCUUAACCUGGGAACUGCUUCCGAUACGGAUGGGCUAGAGUACGGUAGAGGGUGGUGGAAUUUCCGGUGUAGCGGUGAAAUGCGUAGAGAUCGGAAGGAACAUCAAUGGCGAAGGCAGCCGCCUGGGCCUGUACUGACACUGAGACACGAAAGCGUGGGGAUCAAACAGGAUUAGAUACCCUGGUAGUCCACGCUGUAAACGAUGAGAACUUGACGUCGGCUUGCUUGGCGAGUCGGUGUCGUAGCUAACGCGAUAAGUUCUCCGCCUGGGGAGUACGGCCGCAAGGUUGAA